AUACGAACCGGACAAACGUUAUUCGGAAUUAUUGGGCUUAAAGGGUGCGUAGGCGGCUUGGUAGGUGGGGUGUGAAAUCCCUCGACUCAACCGAGGAACUGCGCCCCAAACCCCUAAGCUAGAGGGAGACAGAGGUAAGCGGAACUGAUGGUGGAGCGGUGAAAUGCGUUGAUAUCAUCAGGAACACCAGUGGCGAAAGCGGCUUACUGGGUCUCUUCUGACGCUGAGGCACGAAAGCUAGGGUAGCGAACGGGAUUAGAAACCCCAGUAGUCC
rnacentral:rRNA from 1 species